AGUCGAGCGAAGCACUUAGGAAAGAUUCUUCGGAUGAUUUCCUUUGUGACUGAGCGGCGGACGGGUGAGUAACGCGUGGGUAACCUGCCUCAUACAGGGGGAUAACAGUUAGAAAUGACUGCUAAUACCGCAUAAGACCACGGUACCGCAUGGUACAGUGGUAAAAACUCCGGUGGUAUGAGAUGGACCCGCGUCUGAUUAGGUAGUUGGUGGGGUAACGGCCUACCAAGCCGACGAUCAGUAGCCGACCUGAGAGGGUGACCGGCCACAUUGGGACUGAGACACGGCCCAGACUCCUACGGGAGGCAGCAGUGGGGAAUAUUGCACAAUGGAGGAAACUCUGAUGCAGCGACGCCGCGUGAAGGAUGAAGUAUUUCGGUAUGUAAACUUCUAUCAGCAGGGAAGAAAAUGACGGUACCUGACUAAGAAGCCCCGGCUAACUACGUGCCAGCAGCCGCGGUAAUACGUAGGGGGCAAGCGUUAUCCGGAUUUACUGGGUGUAAAGGGAGCGUAGACGGCACGGCAAGCCAGAUGUGAAAGCCCGGGGCUCAACCCCGGGACUGCAUUUGGAACUGCUGAGCUAGAGUGUCGGAGAGGCAAGUGGAAUUCCUAGUGUAGCGGUGAAAUGCGUAGAUAUUAGGAGGAACACCAGUGGCGAAGGCGGCUUGCUGGACGAUGACUGACGUUGAGGCUCGAA
rnacentral:rRNA from 1 species